rnacentral:rRNA from 1 species
ACGCUCGACACCUACGGGAGGCAGCAGUGGGGAAUAUUGCACAAUGGGGGAAACCCUGAUGCAGCGACGCCGCGUGAGCGAAGAAGUAUUUCGGUAUGUAAAGCUCUAUCAGCAGGGAAGAUAAUGACGGUACCUGACUAAGAAGCUCCGGCUAAAUACGUGCCCGCAGCCGCGGUAAUCUGAGCGGGCUGGCAAGGC